GAUGAACGCUGGCGGCGUGCCUAAUACAUGCAAGUCGAGCGAACGGACGAGAAGCUUGCUUCUCUGAUGUUAGCGGCGGACGGGUGAGUAACACGUGGAUAACCUACCUAUAGGACUGGGAUAACUUCGGGAAACCGGAGCUAAUACCGGAUAAUAUUUUGAACCGCAUGGUUCAAAAGUGAAAGACGGUCUUGCUGUCACUUAUAGAUGGAUCCGCGCUGCAUUAGCUAGUUGGUAAGGUAACGGCUUACCAAGGCAACGAUGCAUAGCCGACCUGAGAGGGUGAUCGGCCACACUGGAACUGAGACACGGUCCAGACUCCUACGGGAGGCAGCAGUAGGGAAUCUUCCGCAAUGGGCGAAAGCCUGACGGAGCAACGCCGCGUGAGUGAUGAAGGUCUUCGGAUCGUAAAACUCUGUUAUUAGGGAAGAACAUAUGUGUAAGUAACUGUGCACAUCUUGACGGUACCUAAUCAGAAAGCCACGGCUAACUACGUGCCAGCAGCCGCAGUAAUACGUAGGUGGCAAGCGUUAUCCGGAAUUAUUGGGCGUAAAGCGCGCGUAGGCGGUUUUUUAAGUCUGAUGUGAAAGCCCACGGCUCAACCGUGGAGGGUCAUUGGAAACUGGAAAACUUGAGUGCAGAAGAGGAAAGUGGAAUUCCAUGUGUAGCGGUGAAAUGCGCAGAGAUAUGGAGGAACACCAGUGGCGAAGGCGACUUUCUGGUCUGUAACUGACGCUGAUGUGCGAAAGCGUGGGGAUCAAACAGGAUUAGAUACCCUGGUAGUCCACGCCGUAAACGAUGAGUGCUAAGUGUUAGGGGGUUUCCGCCCCUUAGUGCUGCAGCUAACGCAUUAAGCACUCCGCCUGGGGAGUACGACCGCAAGGUUGAAACUCAAAGGAAUUGACGGGGACCCGCACAAGCGGUGGAGCAUGUGGUUUAAUUCGAAGCAACGCGAAGAACCUUACCAAAUCUUGACAUCCUUUGACAACUCUAGAGAUAGAGCCUUCCCCUUCGGGGGACAAAGUGACAGGUGGUGCAUGGUUGUCGUCAGCUCGUGUCGUGAGAUGUUGGGUUAAGUCCCGCAACGAGCGCAACCCUUAAGCUUAGUUGCCAUCAUUAAGUUGGGCACUCUAAGUUGACUGCCGGUGACAAACCGGAGGAAGGUGGGGAUGACGUCAAAUCAUCAUGCCCCUUAUGAUUUGGGCUACACACGUGCUACAAUGGACAAUACAAAGGGCAGCGAAACCGCGAGGUCAAGCAAAUCCCAUAAAGUUGUUCUCAGUUCGGAUUGUAGUCUGCAACUCGACUACAUGAAGCUGGAAUCGCUAGUAAUCGUAGAUCAGCAUGCUACGGUGAAUACGUUCCCGGGUCU
rnacentral:rRNA from 1 species